rnacentral:lncRNA from 1 species
UUAGGCAAAAGAGCAGCGCUUGGCCCCCACCGCGGGGGCCAGCGCACCCCUCGCGCGAGGGCGGCUCUUGCCCACACGCUGUGGCAAGUAGCGCCGGCAGCUACUGCCUUGCAGACUUCAGGAGGGGCGGCGGCUGGGGGGUCCAGGUACCCCAAGGCCCCCCUCUCAGAUCGCUAGAGAAGGCUUUCUCACCGAGGGCGCGUCGUGCCCCACACACCAUCGCUCGCCCCUUCGGGGACCCACGGGAGUGGGAACACUCCCAAAAAGUGGGAAGUCAGAAGGGGGGGGGGUCUGCGGUAUGGGUAAAGCACACAGCCCAUGUGAGCGUCCACGGUCAGAGCCGGGAGGGCAAGAGUCUGUGCUGCCACCAGGCUUGCCUUUCAGACUUUUCCACGUGGGUGGAGGGAUGCCACGUCCGGAAAGCCAGACGGGGACCCCCCCUUCACAUCUCCCGGCCCACCGCGGUCGCUCUCACGCCCACAUGCAGCCUUCCCGGUCAAGGGAGAAGGAUGGGGCGUGCCGCUCAAGGGCCAAGGGCUUCCCUCACUGGCACACAGUGAGGGAGACCCCAUGGCAAGGGGUCCACCUGAGCCCCUCCCGGGGAGGGGACACAAGCUUCCCCUGCCUUACCGUCUCGACCCCCUCCCCUGAGCUUUAGGAAGCUGCUCGUGGGGCACGCCACCACCACAGUGGGGACCCGAGGGGACUCACCGCUGGGAGAGGAAAACGACACCACCGCUCGGCCUCGGGCAUCUGACAGGCAACCCGGAGUACUCCAGGGGCACCACAGAGGACCAGGGGAGGCACGCUCACGCACCCGCAGGGAUGCGAAGCAUGGCAGCGAGGGAGGCCUCCCCCCCACUUUGGGGAGGGACCGCUCGCAAGGCACACGCCAAGGCGGCAAAGCGAGAAUGCCUGCUGCGUCCCAAAGGACCCAGGCCCCCCCCCCUGACUGACACCCGAAGGCAGCAGGGCGGGAGACCAGAGGUCAGGCUGGAGGCCGCACCCCUGCCUUCCCCCACACCACCCGCAGGUGGGGGAGGAGCAGCGAGGGGCCCGCGACAGAAUGAGAGGCGCGGCCCAGCUCACCAUGAGCGGCCAUCCCUCAUCUGGCGCGGCUUAAGCCCAAGCCCAGGAGAGCGCCACAUCACCACAUCGAUCAGUCCUGGCAGAGCCAGGGAAGAGCCCAGAAGAGGGGAGGGAGGAACGCCUGACACGUGGCACGGAGCCAACAGGGUGGGGUUGUCCCAGCCGAGCCGCCGGGUGCCCGCAGCAGGGAGGCACACAGGGUAGAAGACCCCACAGGGCCACGCGCCCUGCCGCCCUCGGGUCAGCCAGAGACCGGAGGAGACACCGCAGCACGGGCCAGCUGGAUGCACAAGUGAGAGCCGGCGCACAGGCCCAGGCGAGCGGCCCCCACGCGGGGUGCAAAGGGCAGGGUCAGGCCUUGGACAGCAGCCGAAAGCCCAAAGCCCCCCACGUGCAUCCAGA